rnacentral:lncRNA from 1 species
GCAAUACUGCAGUUUUAACCACUGCUCCAGGAAUCUCCUACAGUGCUAAAGUUAAAAUAAUGUUCAGGUGUUCCUCUGAGUACAAGCAGAGUGCACUCUCCUGUCUACUAACAAAAUGAGAAUGGAUUCAGGACUAAGGAAAGAGUAUUCCAGAGUGGAAAAGGCUGUAUACACUUGGAAGCAGUGAUGAACCCUGCCAUCUCCUUUUGUAAAGGAACAGAAAAAUAAUUUAAUGUUUGCUGGCUUCCUGGAAAUCUUCCAUUCAAAAGAUGGCAAAGCAGAAAGUGGUCCCAACAAAGGAUAAUCUCAGAAGAAUGGGAGGAUGAGUGAGAGGCUGCGGCGACAGGGAGGGACUUAGAAUUUCUUGAGUGGAAGCAAAUCUCGUUAUGUGACUUCUUCACGGGACCGCUUUUCGCACCCAAAAGGUUACGGGUUCCGUUUGCUGGGGUUUUUGAGAGUUGUCAUCCUAAGCAUCUUCAUCAUCAUCUUUUUUCAUGCUCUGAGAUACAGCCAGACCGUGUUGGGGGAACGCAGGGAUAGGAUUCAGGCGGUUCCUCUCUCUGGAGUGGCUGGUCAGAGUUUCCUGGGUGCUGUACUUUGAGUCCCAUGAACGCUUAUCAAAUAUUUGCAGCCGGGAGAAUCAUUAACCCGCCCGUGCUUUAUGAGCCAGGUCCAUGGGCUGGGAGAGGGGGCAGCCGAUCUCUCUCUCUCUCUGCGUUCCUAAAGGUGCAGGCCAGCCGUGCAGUGGACCUUUGGCAAAGUCUCAGAUGUGGUCCUCAGAUCUCAAGGAGUGCCUGCACAGUUCUUUCCGCACCUGUUUCCUCCACUGUACACCCCUGAGAGGUAGUUCAUCUCCAACACACACAAACACAGCAUGUCCAAGAGAGAGAGAGAUCCAGAAGGCCCUUGUGGAUGAGAAGCACGCACAGAGUUCUUGCCCAGACCAAGGGUGCCUAUCGGCUGUAACAGCAACUCCAUGUGGAAGCGUCACAUCAUUCCAGUGGGGAGGCUGUUAUUUUGGAUGGGCACUCAAAAGACAUGUGGCACCACGCGGGGCUCCAGGAGGACACAACAGUGUGGUGGGGAGGGGGAAUAUUAGCCCUCCAUGCUGCAGGCCUAUCACCUGUGGCCACUGUGCACUGGCUGGGCAAUGCAAAAUUAUGUGUGGCAAUGUUUUUUUUUAUUCUGAUCUAUAUAGGUCUGAGCGCAUGAUCUUAACCCCAUCCCAGUACAUUCCAAUGAAUGGGUAA